rnacentral:rRNA from 1 species
GACAGAGGGUGCAAACGUUGUUCGGAAUUACUGGGCGUAAAGCGCGUGUAGGCGGCUAUGCAAGUCGGGCGUGAAAUCCCACGGCUCAACCGUGGAAGUGCACUCGAAACUGCGUAGCUAGAGUCCCGGAGAGGAAGGUGGAAUACUUGGUGUAGAGGUGAAAUUCGUAGAUAUCAAGUGGAACACCGGUGGCGAAGGCGGCCUUCUGGACGGUGACUGACGCUGAGACGCGAAAGCGUGGGAGCAACA